CUCUCUCGAUUCAGAAAAACCUAACCCGAUUUCCAUCCACCGUAACACCAUCCUCACCGACGCAACCUCCACCAUUCCGACAACCACUUGCCGCCGCCGAUAACGGCCUUCACCACCGUACUCUCAUUCAGGCCAUCGUACUCUCGCUCACACCGUUGUGGAGGUACGUUUUUCUCCUUCUCUCAUUUCCUAUCCCAUUUUACUCCCUCUCUCUGCAAACCUAAUUUGUGACGUGUAACUUUGGAGUGUUUUGAUAUUGUUUUUUUAUUUACCAUCAUUAUUAUUAUUUUUAUAUCUCCUUCUCUCAUUUCCUAUCCCAUUUUACUCCCUCUCUCUGCAAACCUAAUUUGUGACGUGUAACUUUGGAGUGUUU
rnacentral:lncRNA from 1 species